rnacentral:rRNA from 1 species
CCUACGGGCGGCAGCAGUGGGGGAUAUUGCACAAUGGGGGAAACCCUGAUGCAGCGACGCCGCGUGAGUGAAGAAGUAUUUCGGUAUGUAAACCUCUUUUGUCAGGGAGCAAAGGGCGCCACGUGUGGCGUUUUGCGAGUACCUGAAGAAAAAGCAUCGGCUAACUCCGUGCCAGCAGCCGCGGUAAUACGGAGGAUGCGAGCGUUAUCCGGAUUUAUUGGGUUUAAAGGGUGCGCAGGCGGCCUGUUAAGUCAGCGGUAAAAGCGCGGGGCUCAACCCCGGCGAGCCGUUGAAACUGGCGGGCUGGAGUUGGAGAGAAGUACGCGGAAUGCGCGGUGUAGCGGUGAAAUGCUUAGAUAUCGCGCAGAACCCCGAUUGCGAAGGCAGCGUACCGGCUCCACACUGACGCUGAGGCACGAAAGCGUGGGUAUCGAACAGGAUUAGAUACCCUUGUAGUC